GUGCUCAUUUGGGCAGCACAUAUACUAAACUUGGAAUGAUACACAGAAGAUUAGCAAGGCCGCGGCACAAGGAUGACUCAAAAAUUCAUGAAGUUUUCCAUAUUUUU
ensembl:snRNA U6 U6 spliceosomal RNA